rnacentral:rRNA from 1 species
GAUGAACGCUGGCGGCGUGCCUAAUACAUGCAAGUCGAGCGAACAGAUGAGGAGCUUGCUCCUCUGACGUUAGCGGAGGACGGGUGAGUAACACGUGGAUAACCUACCUAUAAGACUGGGAUAACUUCGGGAAACCGGAGCUAAUACCGGAUAAUAUAUUGAACCGCAUGGUUCAAUAGUGAAAGACGGUUUUGCUGUCACUUAUAGAUGGAUCCGCGCCGCAUUAGCUAGUUGGUAAGGUAACGGCUUACCAAGGCGACGAUGCGUAGCCGACCUGAGAGGGUGAUCGGCCACACUGGAACUGAGACACGGUCCAGACUCCUACGGGAGGCAGCAGUAGGGAAUCUUCCGCAAUGGGCGAAAGCCUGACGGAGCAACGCCGCGUGAGUGAUGAAGGUCUUCGGAUCGUAAAACUCUGUUAUUAGGGAAGAACAAAUGUGUAAGUAACUAUGCACGUCUUGACGGUACCUAAUCAGAAAGCCACGGCUAACUACGUG